rnacentral:siRNA from 1 species
UGUUCCUUGCCAACCAUAAC